GGCGGAUUUGUCCGUCCUGGUGUCUGAGCGAAGGCGUUAAGUGCACCGCCUGGGGACUACGGCCGCAAGGCUAAACUCAAAGGAAUUGACGGGGGCCCGCACAAGCGGUGGAGCAUGUGGCUCAAUUCGAGGCAACGCGAAGAACCUUACUGGGUUUGACAUAUACCUGACCGCCGGUGAGAGCCGGUUUCUCUUUGAGCAGGUAUACAGGUGCUGCAUGGCUGUCGACAGCUCGUGCUGUGAAGUGUUCGGUUAAGUCCGGCAACGAGCGCAACCCACGCUGUUAGUUACCAUCAGGUAAUGCUGGGGACUCUAACAGGACUGCCCGUGCUAAGCGGGAGGAAGGCGUGGACGACGUCAAGUCCGCAUGGCCCUUACGCCCAGGGCUGCACACGUGCUACAAUGGCCGGUACAGAGGGUCGCCACUCUGCGAAGAGGAGCUAAUCCCGAAAACCGGCCUCAGUUCGGAUUGGAGUCUGCAACCCGACUCCAUGAAGUAGGAAUCGCUAGUAAAGGCGUAUCAGCAACGGCGCCUUGAAUCUGUUCCCGGGCCUUGUACACACCGCCCGUCACAUCAUGGAAGCCGGCUGCACCCGAAGUCGCUAUCCGUUUUACGGAGGCGCCGAAGGUGUGGCUGGUAACUGGGAUGAAGUCUGUAACAAGGUAACCAAGGGCGAA
rnacentral:rRNA from 1 species